rnacentral:tRNA from 1 species
GGGGGUGUGGUGUCAAUGGUAGCACAACGGUCUCCAAAACCGUUAGUCUAGGUUCGAAUCCUUGCACCCCCG